UACGGGAAGGCAGCAGUGGGGAAUAUUGCACAAUGGGCGCAAGCCUGAUGCAGCCAUGCCGCGUGUAUGAAGAAGGCCUUCGGGUUGUAAAGUACUUUCAGUCGUGAGGAAGGUGUUAAGGUUAAUAACCUUAGCAAUUGACGUUAGCGACAGAAGAAGCACCGGCUAACUCCGUGCCAGCAGCCGCGGUAAUACGGAGGGUGCGAGCGUUAAUCGGAAUUACUGGGCGUAAAGGGCACGCAGGCGGUUAAUUAAGUUGGAUGUGAAAUCCCCGGGCUUAACCUGGGAAUGGCAUUCAAGACUGGUUAGCUAGAGUCUUGUAGAGGGGGUAGAAUUCCAUGUGUAGCGGUGAAAUGCGUAGAGAUGUGGAGGAAUACCGGUGGCGAAGGCGGCCCCUGGACAAAGACUGACGCUCAUGUGCGAAAGCGUGGGGAGCAAACAGGGAUUAGAUACC
rnacentral:rRNA from 1 species